UACCUUAUCUUUUCAUCACAACAGCCUCUCUCUCUUAUCUCUUGGCCUUUCUCUCUCAGCGCUAGAGCUCCAUCCCCAAAUCUCUCGUCUCUCGGCGCUGGAGCUCGAGCUCCCUCCCCACCCACUGCCCAACCUCCUGCCCACCCCAAUGCCCCACCUCCCUCCCCUACUGGCCCGAACGCCCGAGCUCCAUCCCCUGACGGUCAAGGUGGGCAUGGCGCCGGCGCUAGCACCGGUGCCAGCAGAUGAGGCAGGGAAUUUGGAGAGAUUCCUCAGGUCCACCAUGCCCUCCGUGCCCGUGUAGUACUUGCCCAAGGUUAGGCUUCUCGGAUUAUGUUCCUUUUGGUGAAAUAGUUGCGCGCUUGCUUUGCUUUUACCAUCACUGAUUGAACUUUGUGCACGAUACUUGUUUUGAUUGUGCGGCGAGAUGUUUCUGGUAGGAACAUAUAGCGGAACAGCCGAAGAGGUGCGGAUUGUUAGAUUUUGUCUUAUGGUGAUGAAUCUUGAUUCAUGUAGUUGUUAUGAUUGGGGAAAAUUUGGGAGCCGUAGUUGUGAAGAAAUUUCCCCUUUUACUCUCUCUCUCUCUCUCAUAUGUUACACUCGCAAUGCAUUUCCAGCAAAUCUGACAAAGCAUUGUUGUGUAACUUUUGAUGCCUGGUAACAUUACUUAUUGCAUAUUAGAUAUGCUAAGGUCCCUUGUGCUGCAGUUCGAAUGGCAGAUAAGAGAAGAUUUCAUCUUUUGGAGACAAUGACAAAUGGCAGUAACUUGUGCUGCAGCACUGUGUUUACUGCUGAGGUGUUGUUUCACUUUUCUCCUAGCUUCGUCUGAGGAGCAGCCAGAAGAUCAGAAAUUCAUUAUUUUUUCCUUCUGUUUGUAGCAUGAGUUUUUUGCUAAAAUUUAUUAUUUCCAUUGUAGGGAAAAGCUUCAGAUUCUUGAGCACAUUAUUUUGGUGAAGGCCCUGUCCGGUGCCAAUUUUAGCAAAGUGUGUCAAAAGCUUAAGACGGACAUACCAUCUGAUGUUCUUGCCAUGUGGGAAUCAUAGAGGCUGAUAUACAGAGAACUUCUGGAUCACAUACCAAAUAUUCCGAUGAUUGUGGGCAACAUCUACUGUAAUAUUAGAGUCUGUACGGUUCUAGCAUUUUUGUAGCAGCAGUAAUAUGUACUCUUGUUAUCUGAUAAAUUAAGCUUGGGGUAAUAUGUACUGUUAUUGUCUAGUAUUUUUGUCUACACACUAUGGUUACCUGCUAAUUACUAGGGUCCAGUAUCGUAGUCCGCAACUAUCAUUUUACUUGUUCUUGAUAUUGAGAUGAGUUGACAACUUUCUGAGUGUCAUGUGAAUGCGUUGUGCUGUGUUAUAUGAAACUUGUGAUGUAUUAAUGAACCAUGUUCUUUGAAAA